CACAGGUGCUGCAUGGCUGUCGUCAGCUCGUGUCGUGAGGUGUUGGGUUAAGUCCCGCAACGAGCGCAACCCUUGUGUUUAGUUGCCAUCUUUUAAUUGGGGACCCUCAAAGGACUGCCCGGGAGACACCCGAGAAAAGGGGGGGGAUGACCUCAUCUUCUCGCGCCCUUUGCCCUGGGGGAUACACAUGUUCUAAUGGGGGGGGCAAAGGGGGUCGCCCCCCCGCGGGGGAGAUCACCCCCAAAACCCCCCCUCAUUUCCGAUUGCGGGCUCCGCCUCUCCUGUGUGAAACCGGAAACU
rnacentral:rRNA from 1 species